GACGAACGCUGGCGGCGUGCUUAACACAUGCAAGUCGAACGGAAAGGCCCUGCUUGCAGGGUACUCGAGUGGCGAACGGGUGAGUAACACGUGGGUGAUCUGCCCUGCACUUCGGGAUAAGCCUGGGAAACUGGGUCUAAUACCGGAUAGGAGCCAUUUUUAGUGUGAUGGUUGGAAAGUUUUUUCGGUGUAGGAUGAGCUCGCGGCCUAUCAGCUUGUUGGUGGGGUAAUGGCCUACCAAGGCGGCGACGGGUAGCCGGCCUGAGAGGGUGGACGGCCACAUUGGGACUGAGACACGGCCCAGACUCCUACGGGAGGCAGCAGUGGGGAAUAUUGCACAAUGGGCGCAAGCCUGAUGCAGCGACGCCGCGUGGGGGAUGACGGCCUUCGGGUUGUAAACUCCUUUCGCUAGGGACGAAGCUUUUUGUGACGGUACCUAGAUAAGAAGCACCGGCUAACUACGUGCCAGCAGCCGCGGUAAUACGUAGGGUGCGAGCGUUGUCCGGAAUUACUGGGCGUAAAGGGCUCGUAGGUGGUUUGUCGCGUCGUCUGUGAAAUUCCGGGGCUUAACUCCGGGCGUGCAGGCGAUACGGGCAUAACUUGAGUACUGUAGGGGUAACUGGAAUUCCUGGUGUAGCGGUGAAAUGCGCAGAUAUCAGGAGGAACACCGAUGGCGAAGGCAGGUUACUGGGCAGUUACUGACGCUGAGGAGCGAAAGCAUGGGUAGCGAACAGG
rnacentral:rRNA from 1 species